UACGGGGGGGGCAAGCGUUGUUCGGAAUUACUGGGCGUAAAGGGCUCGUAGGCGGUCAGCACAAGUCAGUUGUGAAAUCUCCGGGCUUAACUCGGAAAGGUCAGCCGAUACUGCGGGGCUAGAGUGCAGAAGGGGCAACUGGAAUUCUCGGUGUAGCGGUGAAAUGCGUAGAUAUCGAGAGGAACACCUGCGGCGAAGGCGGGUUGCUGGGCUGACACUGACGCUGAGGCGCGAAAGCUAGGGGAGCGAACGGG
rnacentral:rRNA from 1 species